UACGAAGGGGGCUAGCGUUGUUCGGAUUUACUGGGCGUAAAGCGCACGUAGGCGGAUCGUUAAGUCGGGGGUGAAAUCCUGGAGCUCAACUCCAGAACUGCCUUCGAUACUGGCGAUCUAGAGUCCGGAAGAGGUGAGUGGAACUCCUAGUGUAGAGGUGGAAUUCGUAGAUAUUAGGAAGAACACCAGUGGCGAAGGCGGCUCACUGGUCCGGUACUGACGGCUGAGGUGCGAAAGCGUGGGGAGCAAACAGG
rnacentral:rRNA from 1 species